rnacentral:other from 1 species
GUAAAUCUGACGGGUGCGUAGUCGUUAAAUCAUAUUUUGACCUAACACUUUCUUAUACGGGAGCUUAAUUGGUUUUGUUCUGGAAAACACGCCUUUUGAGGACGUUUGAACGUACAAACAGAGCACCCACCUGCAUAUAGCAGGCCAAAAUGUUUAACAAAUGCUACGGCUCUGUCGGAUCAUCU